rnacentral:lncRNA from 1 species
CAGGAUCUGGUUGGGUCUGGUUGGGUGCACAGGCCAUCACCCCUGGGAAAGAGAAGUCUUCUUAAGUGAGGAGACGUCUCCAGCCUUGCUUCAAUACAUGCUUUCCAACUUCUGCACCUGUUCCACGGUUCCGUCCGCCUGAAGGCUCUCUCACUCUCCUCCAGAAAGACUUCCAUCUCCCUGCAGGGAAACUGGACACAUGGAGACAUUGAGCCACUGCCCAAAGUUACACAGGAAAGCCAGCUAUGUCAAUGUGGACACUCGAGCAGUCCUCUGGAGUGAGCCACAUGGUGAAAAAUGGAGUCCUCCUGCCACCAGCCAAAAGGGACUUGCCAACCUUGUGACUGAGCCGGCCCAGACACUCCAGCCCCAGUUAAACCUUUGGAAGACUGUGGCCUCACCAACAUCUUGACUGCAACUUCGUGAGAGACCCAGAGCUAGACCCAUGCAACUAAGCUGCUCCCCAAUUCCUGGCCCACAGACACUGGGAGAGAUAAUACAUGUUUAUUUCUGUUUGAAGCUGCUAAGUUUUGGGUAAUUUGUUUUGCAGCAAUAGGUAAUUGAUAGCAUUAGGAAACAUUAGCUAAUGCUAACAAUGUUUUGCAGAUGAGGGAAUUGAGGCAUAAAAGUAACUUGCCCCAGGUCACACAGGUAACAAGUCGUUUAAACCAUGGCAGUUUGGAUCUAUGUAAAGUUCAGUAAUAAAUUAGAAUCUCUCUUUUACAGGAAUCAGGACACUUUGCCUGCUCAGAGGGAGAGAGGGAAAGAGACAGAGACACAAACACAGAGAGACAGUGACAUGGAGAAGUGCGCCGUGGGCUCACAGUACCAUGUGAAGGACUGGGGCUGCCCUUCUGUAAAGUGAAGGCAGUGGAGAAGUGAAGUGAAGUGUAAGUGAAGAGGAAAGUGAAGGAUGGUAGAGAGCACCCUUGCCCUUGCAGCCUGGCUGUGUUUGGCUUGGGGCUGCUGGUCUCCGACCCUGGCUGGGCUGGUGACACAGCCUAAGGUACCUGGGGGUGGAAUCUGGCACCCCUGAGCAGACCCCUCCCUGGCUCUUGUCCCCCUGUGCUGACACUCUCUGUCCCAGGCUCUCUCUGCCUCCAGACCAGAGCUCCUCCAGGGAAAAGGUGGAGUCUUGUUCGUCUGUGUCCCUCACCUAGCAUAAGGCCUGCCAGAGCAGGCUGGGCGAGGUGAACACAGAAGGUCCUCUGGCCCUGGUACUGGAGAGGCAUCAUCACUGGGGACAGAGUGAGAACCAGGAUGAUGCUGUUUGUUACUGGAGGAGCUCCCAUUGGAUGGAGGAGCCAACAACGACAGGCCAGUGUGAUCAGGGAGAUUGGGACACACAGUGCCGUGGGGGCCCAGAGGAGCAGGGAGGAUCUCUGUGGAGGAGGCGAGAAGUCUUCCCAGAGGAGGAGGCAUUUGAGAAAUUAACCAGUUUAUGUGCCCUGAAAAAUUCCCACUUCCACCCUCUGGGUUCGCAUGCUGGCUCAGUCACUUACUAGCUGUGUGACCUCUCUGCUGCUUAGCUUACUCAUCUGUAAAAUGGGAUAAACACAAAACCUGCCUGAUGGAGAUGUCGUAAGGAUCAAAGAGGAAAAAGAAUUUAAAACAUUUAGAAUGGUGCCUGACCCCCAGCAAGUAUACAAUAAAUAUUGGCUAUUGUUGUUAUUUUAUGUGGUUUUCUUUUA